GACGAACGCUGGCGGCGUGCCUAAUACAUGCAAGUAGAACGCUGAAGGAGGAGCUUGCUCUUCUGGAUGAGUUGCGAACGGGUGAGUAACGCGUAGGUAACCUGCCUGGUAGCGGGGGAUAACUAUUGGAAACGAUAGCUAAUACCGCAUAACAUUGACUAUUGCAUGAUAGUCAAUUGAAAGGUGCAAAUGCACCACUAUCAGAUGGACCUGCGUUGUAUUAGCUAGUUGGUGGGGUAACGGCUCAUCAAGGCGACGAUACAUAGCCGACCUGAGAGGGUGAUCGGCCACACUGGGACGGAGACACGGCCCAGACUCCUACGGGAGGCAGCAGUAGGGAAUCUUCGGCAAUGGACGGAAGUCUGACCGAGCAACGCCGCGUGAGUGAAGAAGGUUUUCGGAUCGUAAAGCUCUGUUGUAAGAGAAGAACGAGUGUGAGAGUGGAAAGUUCACACUGUGACGGUAUCUACCAGAAAG
rnacentral:rRNA from 1 species